rnacentral:rRNA from 1 species
GUCUAUGGCCAUGCCUCCCAGAACAUGCCCGAUCUCAUCUAAUCUCAGAAGCUAAGCAGGGUCCAGCCUGGUUAGUACUUGGAUGGGAGAUCACCUAAGAAGACCAGGUGCUAUAGGCG